GGACUACCCGGGUAUCUAAUCCGUUUUGCUCCCCACGCUUUCAUGCCUCAACGUCAGUAACAGAAUAGUUAACUGCCUUCGCCUUAUUGGUGUUCUUCCAUAUAUCGUCACAUUUUACCGCUCCACAUGGAGUUCCGUUAACCUCUCCUGCACUCAAGCUAGACAGUAUUAUCAACUUCCACGAGGUUGAGCCUCGAUUUCCCACUGAUAACUUAUCAAGCCGCCUACGCAUCCUUUACGCCCAAUAAAUCCGGAUAACGUUCGCCACCUAUGUCUUACCGCGGCUGCUGGCAC
rnacentral:rRNA from 1 species